UACAGAGGUCUCAAGCGUUGUUCGGAUUCAUUGGGCGUAAAGGGUGCGUAGGCGGCGCGGUAAGUCGGAUGUGAAAUCUCGGAGCUUAACUUCGAAACUGCAUUCGAUACUGCCGUGCUUGAGGACUGGAGAGGAGACUGGAAUUUACGGUGUAGCGGUGAAAUGCGUAGAUAUCGUAAGGAAGACCAGUGGCGAAGGCGGGUCUCUGGACAGUUCCUGACACUGAGACACGAAGGCCAGGGGAGCGAACGGG
rnacentral:rRNA from 1 species